rnacentral:rRNA from 1 species
UACGGAGGGUGCGAGCGUUGUCCGGAAUCACUGGGCGUAAAGGGCGCGUAGGCGGCAGGCCAAGCGUGCGGUGAAAGUCCGGGGCUCAACCCCGGAUCUGCCGUGCGGACUGGUUUGCUAGAGCACUGUAGAGGCGAGUGGAAUUCCGGGUGUAGCGGUGGAAUGCGUAGAGAUCCGGAAGAACACCCGUGGCUAAGGCGGCUCUCUAGUACGGUACUGACGCUGAGACGCGAAAGCGUGGGGAGCGAACAGG